CCUACGGGAGGCAGCAGUGAGGAAUAUUGGUCAAUGGCCGCAGGGCUGAACCAGCCAAGUCGCGUGAGGGAUGACGGUCCUAUGGAUUGUAAACCUCUUUUGUCAGGGAGCAAAGGGCGCCACGUGUGGCGCUUUGCGAGUACCUGAAGAAAAAGCAUCGGCUAACUCCGUGCCAGCAGCCGCGGUAAUACGGAGGAUGCGAGCGUUAUCCGGAUUUAUUGGGUUUAAAGGGUGCGCAGGCGGAAUGUCAAGUCAGCGGUAAAAUUUCGGGGCUCAACCCCGUCGUGCCGUUGACACUGGGGUUCUUGAGUGAGCGAGAAGUAUGCGGAAUGCGUGGUGUAGCGGUGAAAUGCAUAGAUAUCACGCAGAACUCCGAUUGCGAAGGCAGCAUACCGGCGCUCAACUGACGCUCAUGCACGAAAGCGUGGGUAUCGAACAGGAUUAGAUACCCCGGUAGUC
rnacentral:rRNA from 1 species